GUCUGUGUGCCUGGUCCAUCUAGGGUUAACCCUUUUUUCUAUAAACAUAGCAGUUUCAGAGAAACUGCUAUGUUUAUGUUAGGGUUAAUCCAGCCUCUAGUGGCUGUCUCAUUGACAGCCGCUAGAGGGCUUCUGCGUUUCUCACUGUGAAAAUCACAGUGAGAAGACGCCAGCGUCCAUAGGAAAGCAUUGUGAAUGCUUUCCUAUGGACUGGCUGAAUGCGCGCGCGGUUCCUGCC